rnacentral:rRNA from 1 species
CGGUGAAGCCCAGCUUGCUGGGCGGAUCAGUGGCGAACGGGUGAGUAACACGUGAGCAACCUGCCCUCCACUUCGGGAUAAGCCCUGGAAACGGGGUCUAAUACCGGAUAUGAGCCCCUGCUGCAUGGUGGGGGUUGGAAAGUUUUUCGGUGGGGGAUGGGCUCGCGGCCUAUCAGCUUGUUGGUGGGGUGAUGGCCUACCAAGGCGUCGACGGGUAGCCGGCCUGAGAGGGCGACCGGCCACACUGGGACUGAGACACGGCCCAGACUCCUACGGGAGGCAGCAGUGGGGAAUAUUGCACAAUGGGCGCAAGCCUGAUGCAGCGACGCCGCGUGAGGGAUGACGGCCUUCGGGUUGUAAACCUCUUUCAGCAGGGAAGAAGCGCAAGUGACGGUACCUGCAGAAGAAGCGCCGGCUAACUACGUGCCAGCAGCCGCGGUAAUACGUAGGGCGCAAGCGUUGUCCGGAAUUAUUGGGCGUAAAGAGCUCGUAGGCGGUCUGUCGCGUCUGGUGUGAAAACCCGAGGCUCAACCUCGGGCUUGCAUCGGGUACGGGCGGACUAGAGUGCUGUAGGGGAGACUGGAAUUCCUGGUGUAGCGGUGGAAUGCGCAGAUAUCAGGAGGAACACCGAUGGCGAAGGCAGGUCUCUGGGCAGUUACUGACGCUGAGGAGCGAAAGCAUGGGGAGCGAACAGGAUUAGAUACCCUGGUAGUCCAUGCCGUAAACGUUGGGCACUAGGUGUGGGGACCAUUCCACGGUCUCCGUGCCGCAGCUAACGCAUUAAGUGCCCCGCCUGGGGAGUAC